rnacentral:rRNA from 1 species
UACGUAGGAUGCUAGCGUUGUCCGGAUUUACUGGGCGUAAAGCGCGCGCAGGCGGCACUGUAAGUAAGGUGUGAAAUAUCCCUGCUCAACGGGGAGGGUGCACUUUAGACUGCAGAGCGUAGAGGACGGUAGAGGGGGGUGGAAUUGCUGGUGUAGCGGUGAAAUGCGUAGAGAUCAGCAGGAACACCCGUGGCGAAGGCGGCCCCCUGGGCCGAACCUGACGCUGAGGCGCGAAGGCUACGGGGAGCGAACGGG